AAGAUGGCGACCGGCGCACGGGUGAGUAACACGUAUCCAACCUGCCGAUAACUCCGGAAUAGCCUUUCGAAAGAAAGAUUAAUACCGGAUAGCAUACGAAUAUCGCAUGAUAUUUUUUAUUUAAAGAAUUUCGGUUAUCGAUGGGGAUGCGUUCCAUUAGUUUGUUGGCGGGGUAACGGCCCACCAAGACUACGAUGGAUAGGGGUUCUGAGAGGAAGGUCCCCCACAUUGGAACUGAGACACGGUCCAAACUCCUACGGGAGGCAGCAUG
rnacentral:rRNA from 1 species